rnacentral:lncRNA from 1 species
AUAAAAAUGUAUUUUUUUAUUUACAAUAAUUUUUCCAGUCGGUUUUGGAAACAUUAAUUCCGUCGCGACGAAACUAACCUUCGGACGAAACUAACCUUGAAAAUACCCCCCUGUUUUGAUUUUACUUGGAAGGAGGUAGUUCAAUAUUGCAGGUUUAAUUAAAUAAGAAAGAAUGGGAUGCGACGACGAAACGCAUAAUAUCCAGUUUAAAAAGAAGAAGAAGACGAAACCUUUAAGGAAACGCGAAGCUUCUCGGUUUGAGCGAGGGAGAGAAAAUGUCCAAGUAGAAAGUCGAAGAAACAAAGAUUAUUCAGAAAUUCUAUGAGAGACCAGCUGGCGUCGAUAUUGUUGGUUUGGCUCUCGGAGAAAGCGUUGUAUCUGAUGUGUUGUGGUCGGAUCCCUUUAAUAUGAAAACCGGAGGAAAAUAUGACUAUGCUGAAGAAUAUAAAAUAUAAGCUGAAUGACUCGUACGACACCAGCAGUAGAACUCAAUUUAAUAUGGAGACCAAUAAAUGAAGAAAUGGUCAAUUAUGUAGAAGAAUUGUCGAAGUGCAAGAGUAAAAAUGAUGAUGCAGUGAAUAGUACGAAUAAUGAUAAUAGACCGUAUUGCUUGCCACAGGAAACAGCAUUGCGUGUAGUACUAGAUACAAGUUAAGCGAGAAAAUUUGAGGAGUGAUUUUGGUCUAGCAGCAGGAAUGUCGGGCGAAUUACCUUGUUAACAGUCACUUAGUAGCUAGGAAGAAGGCCAGUGUAGCCACAGUAUCGCCCAAUGUAUCACACAGGAUAUGACAGCUCGGGGGAAGAAAAUAACACGCGACUGAGUUAUUCAAACAUCCAAAGUACAAUAAAUUAUGCAACAAGCGAUAACGAGACGGCAUCUAGACAGCGUUUGACGGACAUAAAGGAAAGGGAGGAAGAGGUGGAGCCAGUUUCUUCCGAAAUUUUUGAUAAUGAAAAUAUUCUGAGCGAAGAUUAAGCACAAAAUCGUCACAUUCUUUUCAAUUAAAACAAUGAAGAACAAGACUAAUAUGGCCUAUAAUACCGAGUAUUCUAUUUUUCUUUCUCCUCUUUCAAGUGAUUUGUGGUAACGAACCACGUAGUAAUUCAUGCUUGUUAAAAUCAGUGAUUAAACAAGCUAAUCGACUAUGUUAUUAAGAGAUAUCGUCAGAUGAAGAAAGCGACUUCUCACCCUAUGUGAUUUUCUUGUUCGCUUAAUCUAGCUGUAUCAUUAAAAUAAGUAACAAGAUUAAGUGUAUAUUGUAAUGUAUGCCAAUUAUGGAAAGGCUGAAUAUAAUUGCAGAGUUUGUUUCACCUUUUAAAUGUUGUCACUUUGCAACUGUAAGUACUGCGAUUGAGAUUUCUUGAUCCCUUGUUAGUUGGUAGUAGCAACUGUCAUUUCGUAAUCAUUCUACAUGCAUGAUGGAAAAGGUGCGAUUGCGUACUCAAUGCCAAUGUAAUUAAUCGCUGUAUUGCAACUGAUUUCUUCCGUUCGAUAUUUUAAUUCUGGAUAACAGAUUUGAUUAUCAGGAUAUACCACUUCUGCAAUUUCGGUUGUAUACUUCGUCUUGCUUUACUGACUGAAUGCACAAACUAGAGUACCGCUAUCUUUGACUACAGGUUAUUUACAAUUUGUAGUAAUUUAUAAUAAUUUAUAACAUGUAUUUUACAUGUUAAUUAUAACAUCUUAUUUUUAAAACAUGUAUUUUAAGUAUUUUUUUGUAAAUAAAUAUAUACGGAUUAAAAUUAAACAAUGUAAAUCUAUGUACCUUUGUAAGAUCAUUUGCUGUGCACUCAAUAAAAAUAUUUUUUGAAUUAA